AUCGGUUUUCGGCCUUUUGGCUAAAAUCAAGUGUAGUAUCUGUUCUUGGGUUUGGGGGAUUAAGAGAGCUGACCAUAGAAGAGAGAAUUUUAACCAUAAAAGUGGUGAUUUUACCCUUGGUUUUACUAAUCAGUUCUGUUUUCAUCCCAACAAGGAAGGUGCUUUUAGAGUUGGACCGAGCCAUUUUUUACUUCAU